CGGGCUUUGUGUCUUCCUUGGCUGGUUUCUCACCAUGAUGUCAAGAUACCACUAGAUAUGAUGAUGUGUAGGCUUGUAAUAGCCUAUAUGAGGUCAUCUCCUCCACAAAAAGCAGCUUUGCAGGCUCUUGUAAUGACAUUGACAAAGGCUCAGCUAGCUUACCUCAAGAAACAAUCAUCUCCAAG